UUUCCGGUUGAUCCUGCCGGAGGCUACCGCUAUUGGAGUUCGAUUAAGCCAUGCGAGUCGUGAGUCUUAGGGACUCGGCGUACCGCUCAGUAACACGUGGGUAACCUGCCCUAUGCUGGGGAAUAACCUCGGGAAACUGAGAAUAAUGCCCCAUAGUUCACCACACCUGGAACGGUGGGUGGAUGAAAGCUCCGGCGGCAUAGGAUGGGCCUGCGGCGUAUCAGGUUGUAGGGGGUGUAAUGUACCCUCUAGCCAUCUACGCGUACGGGUGUUGAGAGACAUCGCCCGGAGAUGGAUUCUGAGACACGAAUCCAGACCCUACGGGGUGCAGCAGGCGCGAAAACUUGGCAAUGCGAGCAAUCGUGACCAGGGAACUCCAAGUGCAUCGGGUAAGACCGAUGCUUUUCUUGACUCUUCAAAGGUCUUGGAAUAAGGGGUGGGUAAGGACGGUGCCAGCCGCCGCGGUAAUACCGGCGCCUCAAGUGGUAGUCGCUUUUAUUGGGCCUAAAACGUCCGUAGCCGGUUUGGUACAUUCGUGGGUAAAUCAAGACGCUCAACGUCUUGAAUUCUGCGAGCACGGCCAGACUUGGGACCGGGUGAGGUGUGGGGUACUCUCAGGGUAGGGGUAAAAUCCUGUCAUCCUGAGAGGACCACCUGUUGCGAAGGCGCCACACUAGAACGGAUCCGACGGUCAGGGACGAAGCCUAGGGGCACGAACCGGAUUAGAUACCCGGGUAGUCCUAGGUGUAAACGCUGUGGACUUGAUGUUGGGAGUGCUCCGAGCGCCCUCAGUGUCGAAGCGAAGGUGAUAAGUCCACUGCCUGGGGAGUACGGUCGCAAGGCUGAAACUUAAAGGAAUUGGCGGGGGAGCACUGCAACUGAGGAUUGUGCGGUUUAAUUGGAUUCAACGCCGGAAAGGGCGAAU
rnacentral:rRNA from 1 species